GUGGGGAAUAUUGGACAAUGGGCGAAAGCCUGAUCCAGCCAUGCCGCGUGUGUGAAGAAGGUCUUCGGAUUGUAAAGCACUUUAAGUUGGGAGGAAGGGCAGUAAGUUAAUACCUUGCUGUUUUGACGUUACCGACAGAAUAAGCACCGGCUAACUUCGUGCCAGCAGCCGCGGUAAUACGAAGGGUGCAAGCGUUAAUCGGAAUUACUGGGCGUAAAGCGCGCGUAGGUGGUUGUGUAAGUUGGAGGUGAAAUCCCCGGGCUCAACCUGGGAACUGCCUCCAAAACUACAUGACUAGAGUACGGUAGAGGGUAGUGGAAUUUCCUGUGUAGCGGUGAAAUGCGUAGAUAUAGGAAGGAACACCAGUGGCGAAGGCGACUACCUGGACUGAUACUGACACUGAGGUGCGAAAGCGUGGGGAGCAAACAGGAUUAGAAACCCGUGUAGUCC
rnacentral:rRNA from 1 species